AUUUAUGUGUGAAUUUUUAAUAUAAAUGCUGGCAUUGUCCAGAAAAAUUUAACAGGUUAAUUUAUAAUUGUUAUAAAGUUGAACUGC